GGGGUUGUGGCUCAGUGAUGGAGCACUUGCCUUCCAAGUUUGAGGCACUGGGUUCGAUCCUCAGCACCA
rnacentral:tRNA from 1 species